UACGUAGGCAGCAAGCGUUGUUCGGAGUUACUGGGCGUAAAGGGUGUGUAGGCGGUUCCUUAAGUUUGCUGUGAAAUCUCCCGGCUUAACCGGGAGGGUGCGGUGAAUACUGAGGGACUAGAGUACGGGAGAGGAAAGUGGAAUUCCUGGUGUAGCGGUGAAAUGCGCAGAUAUCAGGAAGAACACCCGUGGCGAAGGCGGCUCUCUGGGACGGUACUGACGCUGAGACGCGAAAGCGUGGGGAGCGAACAGG
rnacentral:rRNA from 1 species